rnacentral:rRNA from 1 species
AUUGAACGCUGGCGGCAGGCUUAACACAUGCAAGUCGAACGAGUGGCGGACGGGUGAGUAAUGCUUGGGCAUCUAGCUUAUGGAGGGGGAUAACUACGGGAAACUGUAGCUAAUACCGCGUACCAUCGGAUGAGCCCAAGUGGGCUUAGGUGGUUGGUGAGGUAAAGGCUCACCAAGCCGUCGAUCCCUAGCUGGUCUGAGAGGAUGACCAGCCACACUGGAACGUAGACACGGCCCAGACUACAACGUGAGGCAGCAGUGGGGAAUAUUGCGGAAUGGGAGCAACCCUGACGGAGACAUGCCGCGUGGAUGAAGAAGGCCUUAGGUUUGUAAAGUACUUUCGGCAGGGAAGCGUUACCCGCAGAAGAAGCACCGGCGAACUCCGUGCCAGCAGCCGCGGUAAUUC